AUGUCUUUGAAAAUUUUCCUGCUUGUUAUUGUUCUAUCUUUUGUGACAAGUGAUGUACACGGAUGUUCAUGUUUUGGCAAUCCACACCCUCAAGAACAAUUCUGCUCAGCAGCUUACGUAUUAUAUGGCAGAGUUAUCAGGGAAACAUUCAUACCAGGACCACCUGAUGAUAUUGCCAAUAACGACGCGAUCUGGAAAUAUACUGUCAGCAUUCUCUUCAAAAUGAAGGGAAUUACAGAAAGAGUUGGUUCUGAGGUAGUUAUAGAGACUGCAGGAAAUAGUGCGCUCUGUUGAGUAAGCUUGCACGUCGGAAAGUCAUUAAUUCUAAUGGGUGGAAGAGGUGACAAUGGUGCUAAAAAUAUCAAAUUUUGUGAUUUUAUUGGAGAACUCAGUAAUCUGACAUCAUACCAAACGUUUUACCUGUUUUCUGGAGGUCCUUAUUCGUACAAUUUUAACUGUAAAAGAAGAUGCACAAAAAUUCGUAGCAGGUCAGGAGGUUGUAGAUAUCCACCUAAAAAUGAGUUUUGCCUUUCACAGAAUGCAUUGUGCAAAAGACAGGGAGGAAGAUGUAUUUGGUUUAAUAAUGAACAGUGUUAACU